GAUGAACGCUGGCGGCGUGCCUAAUGCAUGCAAGUCGUACGGCCUGAUUUAUCAGGCAGUGGCAGACGGGUGAGUAACGCGUGGGCAACCUGCCCUGCAGAUUGGGAUAACUCCGGGAAACCGGGGCUAAAUACCGAAUAAUAUCGAAGAUUUCAUGAUCUUCUUUUGAAAGACGGUUUCGGCUGUCACUGCAGGAUGGGCCCGCGGCGCAUUAGCUAGUUGGUGAGGUAACGGCUCGACCAAGGCAACGAUGCGUAGCCGACCUGAGAGGGUGAUCGGCCACACUGGGACUGAGACACGGCCCAGACUCCUACGGGUGGCAG
rnacentral:rRNA from 1 species